rnacentral:rRNA from 1 species
GGGUCAGUAGGCUGGUCGUGCCACCGGUACGUACUGGUCUCACUGAUUCCUCCUUCCUGAAGAACCGGAAUGCCAUUAAUUUGGUGUUGCGGGGAAACAGGACUGUUACUUUGAAAAAAUUAGAGUGUUUAAAGCAAGCUAACGCUUGAAUACAUUAGCAUGGAAUAAUGAAAUAGGACGAUCGUUCCUAUUUUUUUGGUUUCUAGGAUUGACGUA